AACUUUUGAUUGCAAGGAGUCACUCACUUUAGGGAUUCUUAGAGAAGUGAAGGGACAGGAAUGGAGAGCAAGGCUACUAAUGGAGCAGUCCUCUGCUAUAAAAUGUCUAUCUAUUUCAUACCAUUUGGUGGGCACGAAGAAGAUCCAGCAAGGGAUGGCAAAGCCCAAUGUACUUGAAAGAUAAGGCAGGAAUACCAACCUAUCACAUUAAAUUUCUCAUUCUAGUAAGUGGUACUAUUUCUUCUAUCAUGUAAAAUUUCAGCCUAGUAAAUGCUAAC